GCGCAAGCGCAAUCUCCUUCCUUUCCGAGGUCCUCUGCCGCGUGUGUGGAAGUAAUGGCCGUCCCGGUCCGUGGUGCUGUCCCUGAAAGGCCUAGGCUUUGGGUGAUGGCAUGCCUGUGGCACUCGGGAGGCGAGCUGCAGUUUCCGUCUCAGCAGUGAUGGCGGGAUCCCUGGAAGCGAGCCCGCUGUGGUCACCGGGGAGAAGGCAUAGGUGCGUCCUUCUGGAGAUCAGCCAUAAGGAUGCGCGCCGAGCCCGCCUCAGUCCAUUUGGAUUGAAGUGCUGUCUCCAGGAAGCAUCAUGGGAAGGCGUGGGGCACGGGGACCUUCAGGAUGACUGCCUGGUGUUGGCUGAGCCUCAGUUUCUGGGCCUGCAAGUGGUGUUGAUGCAGCCACUCAGGUAGCCGUCCUGCACCUGGAUUUUCUCCUGGAGUCAGAACGGUGCCUGUGAACAGAGGAGCUUGCAGGCACAGCUCAGUGGACAGCAGCACUUCCCAGUCCUGUACUCUGGCUGAGGGAUGUGCUAAGUGG